GUGAACGCUGGCGAUAGGCCUAACACAUGCAAGUCGAACGGCAGCACAGUAAGAGCUUGCUCUUACGGGUGGCGAGUGGCGGGCGGGUGAGGAAUACAUCGGAAUCUACUUUUUCGUGGGGGAUAACGUAGGGAAACUUACGCUAAUACCGCAUACGACCUACGGGUGAAAGCAGGGGAUCUUCGGACCUUGCGCGAUUGAAUGAGCCGAUGUCGGAUUAGCUAGUUGGCGGGGUAAAGGCCCACCAAGGCGACGAUCCGUAGCUGGUCUGAGAGGAUGAUCAGCCACACUGGAACUGAGACACGGUCCAGACUCCUACGGGAGGCAGCAGUGGGGAAUAUUGGACAAUGGGCGCAAGCCUGAUCCAGCCAUACCGCGUGGGUGAAGAAGGCCUUCGGGUUGUAAAGCCCUUUUGUUGGGAAAGAAAAGCAGCAGGUUAAUACCCCGCUGUUCUGACGGUACCCAAAGAAUAAGCACCGGCUAACUUCGUG
rnacentral:rRNA from 1 species